CUCUUUUCUCUCUUAGAGCUGGAGUAGCCUUUCUCUACUAGGGUUUGAUCUUCGUCUCUGUCAAUUUCGUACAAGCUCAUCCUACUUCACCUCCUUAAGUUUUUCCUUGAGCUGUCGUGCCCCACUACUUAGAGUCGAGGCCCUUUUCUAGCUAUUUCCAGGGAGAACAAUGGUGAGAUCUGAUACUCUCGUCCAAGCGAGCUUGUCUCGCCUAGGCGAGACUUGCAGAAACAGGCUAGGUUCGCAC